UUAUUUACUGUGUUGUAACUGGAGUUGGAGAUGCAUGGUUGCUACGUGCAUUCCACUGUGGAUACGCAUGUGCUCCAUGGGCCUGAGACUGGAGAAUUCUUGCAAUCAGUGUCCAUUGAUCCGAACCUGCAGCCCUGCUCUCCUUGUGCUCCAUACUGAGGUUGUAAAGGGUGGUGCAGAUUGACUGCCUACUCUAGUUCCUUCUCUACUGCGAAUCCAGUCAUAAUCCAAAGCAGAUGGGAAGGAGGUACGUAGUGGAAUGCACAUAGGGACUAUGCAUCUCGGAGAAUUCCGGUUACAACAAGGAGCCGGACCUGCUGCUGGCUGCUUCCGGGGUGCAACGCAGUCCGCGGUGCCACAACAGGCGGGAAGCCUGCCUCUGCCCCCAAGCUGCGCCAUUGACCAAAGAGCUGCCAGAGCUCACAUCGCAUCUUCCCUACUGACCAUGCCGGCUUUCUGCAGCAAACGUGCUCCCACCUGCAGUACACCAGAGUUAUUGGAUCUGUAGGGACUGUGGGGAGAGGAGGCUGUGCAAUUGCAGCUCCAAUCCAGCCGUAGCAACUUUGACACCGACAAGCAGAUGGCUCAUGGCAUGGAUGAGAAAGGGCGCAAAAGGGACACACAGCAGUGCUGUGCUAAGAUCAAGGAGCUGAGGCAGGCAUACCAGAAAGCAAAGUAAGCCAUCUAUCUGUCUGGUGCAAUGCCAAAUAUCAUGCCGCUUCUACGAGGGCCUGCACACCAUCCUCGGCAGCAACCCCACCUCCACCGCCAAGAGCCCCAUGGAUACUUCAGCAGGACUGGAGGCAGCCGACAACCCCAAGGAUGAAGCGGUGGAUAAGAUGUGCCCUUGAGGGCCAGCUCCACACCAGCAGAACGCCUCCAUCAGAUAAAGUAGUGAACGAGAAGGAGUAAGGAGGACAUAUUUUGUAAAGUGCUGCAAUCGUCAGAUCAGGCCGAUAGCGAGCAUGGAGAAACACUAUCAAAAUACUAGAAAUGAAUAGCCAGCGGAUGAUACAGGGCCAGGAGCGGAUAAUAAAGUUCAUGUAGGACCAAACAAACAGAGAUGCUGAGGUCCCUGAUUGCGCUGCAGGGGAAACACAUGCAUGCAUAACUCCCCCUGUAGCCCAUACAGAACUGCCUUCCUUGCUCUCCCAAAACUUCCCACACACAUUCCUGGCCCAUCACAGUAACCCUUGUACUCCACCGCAGGGACAUUUUCCAUAAUGACAGCUGGACUUACACACAGCUGUGAAAUCCUCACUUCAGAGAGUGCUGCACACUGUCAUGUCCCUUGUAAGAAAUGUUAA